AUGAGUUAUGAGAAUUCUUGUGUAUAGGAGAAGAAAGUUCAAAAGCUGCAGAAAAGAGAAGCUGAAACAGAGUUCAAGCUUUUGACAUCAAGGUUUGAUAUCUCAUGUUGUUUACUAGUUUCUUUGCAUGUAAAUUGUGUGGUGUGUUGCUAGUGAGAUGAUAUGUUGCUUGUUGUUGAGUGAGAAGAUUGGAUAUGUUAUGAAAACAGGGGAUGGAAUGAAUUUAUGAAACAGAGUUUGCUGGAAAUUUUACCAGCAACUUCAUCUUGAUUUUGACCCCAGAAAAUGAUGGAAUUAGGAAGUGUUAUAGAAGAGUUAUUUGUUCCUCUAUGUGUUAUCUUUACGUGGG
rnacentral:lncRNA from 1 species